rnacentral:lncRNA from 1 species
CAUAUAAGAGCUAUGUCAUAUAAUGGGGGAGCACUAGCUCCAGCUGGUACUAAUGUUCCCUGAGCUUCACUGGGAAAUCUCUCCCAGUAUUUCUGUGUCCAGUAUGGUGAACAGAUACCAAGAGAAGAUCUGACCUCUUGCAGUUUAUUUCCUCCUCUGAAAGAUUUUCCAGGUGGCCGAGCGCAAAGCAAAUAUUUAUAGAUCAAAAUAUUUCUCUUCUCCAUGGGAGGGAAACAGUAAAAGUGCAGAUAUUAAUUUGGUUUUGCAGAGAACUGGAAAUAAUGACAAACUGGUCAUUAAAACUAAGCCUCUUUUUUUUUCUUUCUUUCUUUGCAGAUGCAAAUAAACUUUCUAAGGACAAAUCUGAACCCAUACGUUUCUUUCUCAUAAGAUGGUUAGCAGUGAGACCAGAUGUUUUUGAACACGCCUGUGAAGAAUCACCAUUUGCCUGUGAAUUCUGCACACACAACAACUUAUUCAGCCAUCUCAGCGGAAUUUCCUAGAAAAGUAGCCUGUAAAACAGAUGAACUUAUAUAUAUUCUCAGGUGUGAUGUCUUCUUUGGCAGGAGGAGCAGGCUCUUCUCAACAAUAAGGUAAGAUACUGAUGGAACUAAAGACUGUCAAUUUUUUAUUCUGGUUCUUGUUACAGUAGUAAAUUUUUUCACAGCAUUUUCUUAAGAACCGUGUUAAAAUGAAGAGGAACAUAUUUUUAUUUAGAUAAAUAUGUGUAAUCUUAAUUGUGUUUAAUUUACCCAUUUGAUUUACUGCAUAUUCUUACGUAUAAACGACAUAAAAAGAGAAGCACACAAGGAGAGCAGAAUAUGGGAGCAUGUGGUUGGCAUUUGGAUGGGAAAUGUCUGAGUUUACUUCAGUGUAAGUAACUUCAAACAUUAAAAUUGGGUUAUUCUUCAUGCUAUGGGGAAAAAGUGACAAACAUAGAGACAAGUCUUCUGCAGAGUUUUAUUCAGUCAGAGACAGUCUGCAGACAGUAUCACCCCAAAUUAAAUGCACCAUCUCUGUGCUUUAAGCUUGGAGAUCAAAGCUGGAUAAAAAGCAACACAGGCAACAAUGUCUAGAAUUAGAUUUUUUUUUCACACUUUACUUUACAAGACUGUUCUGUUGUCUUGUAACUGCAAAAUUUUAACACUCCAGGCUUAAUUCUCCUUGCUAAGGUUGUGCCACAGCUUAGCAUCCAAAAGGAAAGUAUCCCCAUGCUUAAAAUAAAAAAUGUUUGUUGUUGUUGUUAUUGUUGUUA